rnacentral:rRNA from 1 species
CGGGACGGGUGAGUAACGCGUGGGUAACCUGCCUUACACAGGGGGAUAACACUUAGAAAUAGGUGCUAAUACCGCAUAAGCGCACAGCUUCGCAUGAAGCAGUGUGAAAAACUCCGGUGGUAUACGAUGGAUCCGCGUCUGAUUAGCUGGUUGGCGGGGUAAAGGCCCACCAAGGCGACGAUCAGUAGCCGGCCUGAGAGGGUGAACGGCCACAUUGGGACUGAGACACGGCCCAAACUCCUACGGAAGGCAGCAG